rnacentral:rRNA from 1 species
UACGUAGGGUGCGAGCGUUAAUCGGAAUUACUGGGCGUAAAGCGUGCGCAGGCGGUUUUGCAAGCCGGAUGUGAAAUCCCCGGGCUCAACCUGGGAAUGGCAUUUGGGACUGCAAGGCUCGAGUGCGGCAGAGGAGACUGGAAUUCCUGGUGUAGCAGUGAAAUGCGUAGAUAUCAGGAGGAAUACCGAUGGCGAAGGCAGGUCUCUGGGCUGACACUGACGCUCAUG